rnacentral:lncRNA from 1 species
UGCACAUGACAUGUUAAAAAUCAUUAUCCCCACAGAUUUGAGUCAUCUUUACACUUAAGCACGUACUUAAUCAUAGUCACCACUUACUAGUUCACAAUUAAUCAAUUAAAACAAUGUUUUUGAUGUAGUAACAUGCCUUAGAGAAUUCGCUCAAUUCCUUACAAGAUAUGCAUUCAAUUUUCACUCAGAUUUUCCAACUACACACCCUAUACUAGUUAUAUGUGAGAAGAUUGAUGUAGAUAUGAAAACGAAUGCUCACAUAUAUGUAUCACAAAGAAAGCAAUUUCUGGAGUUAAUAAGCAUGUUUAGAUAUGAUCUCAUGAAUGGAAUGCUAUUACUUAGAUGCGAGAACCAGUGACACCAUAUGCUCAUAUCAAUUUCAAACUCCACAUAUUGAAACGCAUGACACUCAAGAUGAAGUUAAGGGUUGUAACGGGGCUUGGGGUGAUGGCUAACAAAUGAAGGAUAAGGAUAACAAUCGUUCUUAAAGCAAUAGCAAGUAAAGUAAUGAAAUUGAAACUUAGAAUUCACUUAGAUUGCAGUAAUCAACUUUUAACACGAAGGGAAAGCAAUAAUUAGGGCCGAAUUCUAUGUUUUGGACCCUUUCUUCAACAAGCAGCACUUUAAAACUCUUUUUCGCAUAUUUUUCAACUCUUUUUUUUUUUUUUUUUCAACUCUUCUUUUCUUUUUUUCAACAAGCAUAAUAACUCACACUUCCCCCACACUUGUUUUCUGCCAUACAUUAAUCAAAAGAAAUUCAAUUUGAAUUAUGUUUUACUAUGCUUCAAGAACAAGGGUAUGGAUGGUCCUAAACUAGGCUAGGUAAGGAUAAUGUGGUUUAA